AUAUCAGUAAGCAGAGGAAAAGAAAGCAACAGCGAUUCCUUUAGUAACUGCGAGUGAAACAGGAUAAGCUCAACACUGAAUCAGGGAGUGGUAAUCGCUUUUCUGAAUUGUGGUGUUUCGACAAGUCCAAAGGGCUCCACUUUGUGCUAAGUUUGUUGGAAAACAAUGCCAUAGAGGGUGACAGCCCCGUUUGCAUAGAGGAUGGAGUUCUAUUAGGACUUGUUCGCAGAGUCGUACUGUUUGAGAGUACAGUGCAAAAUGGGAGGUGAAUUUCUCCUAAAGCUAAAUAUUUACUGGAGACCGAUAGCGCACAAGUA
rnacentral:rRNA from 1 species